rnacentral:rRNA from 1 species
AAUGAACGCUGGCGGCGCGCCUAAUACAUGCAAGUCGAGCGAGAAGACGUAGCAAUACGUUUGUAAAGCGGCGAACGGGUGAGGAAUACAUGGGUAACCUACCCUCGAGUGGGGAAUAACUAGCCGAAAGGUUAGCUAAUACCGCGUACGCUUCUUGGACUUCGGUUCAGGGAGGAAAGCGAUACCGUGGGUAUCGCGCUCUUGGAGUGGGCUCAUCGUCCUAUCAGUCUUGUUGGNGAGGUAACGGCUCACCAAGCUUCGACGGUAGCUGGUCUGAGAGGACGAUCAGCCACACUGGCACUGCGACGACGGGCC